AGAUUACAUCAAAAGAGAAAUAUGUGUGAAAGAAUUCAGAAACAAAUUGAGGAGACAGAAUUUUAUAUUGCGACUUUAAAGACAACCUAGCUUAAUGAUUAACUGUAGUCGAACAUGGUUAACCUGAUGCUGUUUUUAUUAAAUGAAAUAUUUUUGA
rnacentral:lncRNA from 1 species